CCCAAUCGGUAAGGACCUUCGCCCAUAUAGUGUCCUUCCAUAUAGAAAGCUGCGUUCUGUGGAUGAAUUCCAUCCAUUACCAUGAAUUGCAUAUCUUCAGACGAUUUCCAGUGUCGUUUCCUCUGGUUGAUGAACCAGUUAUUAAUUUGUUUUUUGGUCCAAACCAGUUGAUUCUGCCAAGGCCACCUUCUCGGUCUCCGAAGGAUAAGGCCAUUUGUAGUGCAACUCCCACCAAUUGAGUAGCUUUGGCCGAGCUUCUUUGGGUGGUUCUUCAGUUCCCGAUCUUCAGCGCGUGGAUCAAUCUCUGGCAGUUCUGUUUCUCCACCACUGUUGUCUUGAUCCUCCUCUUCAGAUGAACCAUCGCCCUCGCACUUCUCCUCAGAGUUAAAGAUCCGGACGGGGCCAUUGUUAAGCAAGUUGAGUUGUGCUUCGGUCUUUACACGCACAAACCCAUUUUUAAUAUAUUCACAUCACUAUCCUAGCCCACAGGUUCCGAAACCCCCCAUUGGAUUUCUUUUAUUUUAUUUUAAUAUAUUACCAACACACUUGCACUAUACCAACCCAUUUCUUCUCAUUCUCAUUAUUUUUUAUUAUUAUCACAUGGGCGUGUUCCCCCUCUUUCAAAAAAAAAAAA